rnacentral:rRNA from 1 species
UACAGAGGUGCCAAGCGUUAGGCGGAAUCACUGGGCUUAAAGCGCGUGUAGGUGGACGGGUAAGUAUCUUGUGAAAUCCCACGGCUCAACCGUGGAACUGCUGGAUAUACUGCUUGUCUUGAGGCACUUAGGGGCAGCUGGAACAAAUGGUGGAGCGGUGAAAUGCGUAGAUAUCCGGAGGAACACCAGAGGCGAAGGCGGCCUACUGGGCUGCACCUGACGCUGAGCCGCGAAAGCCAGGGGAGCGAACGGG